rnacentral:rRNA from 1 species
GACGAACGCUGGCGGCGCGCUUAACACAUGCAAGUCGAGCGAGAACCGGGCCUUCGGGCCCGGGGAAGUGGCGCACGGGUGAGUAACACGUGGGUAACCUUCCCUCGAGCGGGGAAUAACAUUCCGAAAGGAGUGCUAAUACCGCAUAAGACCACGGCUUCGAAAGGAGCUGAGGUAAAAGCUGGCCUCUUCAUGAAAGCUAGCACUCGAGGAUGGGCCCGCGGCCCAUCAGCUUGUUGGUAGGGUAACGGCCUACCAAGGCUAAGACGGGUAACUGGUCUGAGAGGAUGAGCAGUCACACUGGAACUGAGACACGGUCCAGACUCCUACGGGAGGCAGCAGUGGGGAAUCUUGCGCAAUGGACGAAAGUCUGACGCAGCGACGCCGCGUGGGUGAUGAAGGCCUUCGGGUUGUAAAGCCCUGUGGGGAGAGACGAAUAAGUCUUGGCUAAUAUCCAAGAUGAUGACGGUAUCUCCUUAGCAAGCACCGGCUAACUCCGUGCCAGCCGCCGCGGUAACAC